CCUACGGGUGGCAGCAGUGGGGAAUAUUGCACAAUGGGGGAAACCCUGAUGCAGCGACGCCGCGUGAGUGAAGAAGUAUUUCGGUACGUAAAGCUCUAUCAGCAGGGAAGAAAAAAAGUCCUUUGGACUUUGGACGGUACCUGACUAAGAAGCCCCGGCUAACUACGUGCCAGCAGCCGCGGUAAUACGUAGGGGGCAAGCGUUAUCCGGAUUUACUGGGUGUAAAGGGAGCGUAGACGGCAGCGCAAGUCUGGAGUGAAAUGCCGGGGCCCAACCCCGGAACUGCUUUGGAAACUGUGCAGCUGGAGUGCAGGAGAGGUAAGCGGAAUUCCUAGUGUAGCGGUGAAAUGCAUAGAUAUCACACAGAACACCGAUUGCGAAGGCAUCUCACGAAUCCGCGAUUGACGCUGAUGCACGAAAGCGUGGGUAUCAAACAGGAUUAGAUACCCUUGUAGUC
rnacentral:rRNA from 1 species